rnacentral:rRNA from 1 species
UGGGCGUUGCGGUGCUACCAUGCAGUCGAACGAUGAUGCCCGUAUUGCUGGGCGGAUUAGUGGCGAACGGGUGAGUAAUACGUGAGUAACCUGCCCUUGACUCUGGGAUAAGCCUGGGAAACUGGGUCUAAUACUGGAUACUACCUCUUACCGCAUGGUGGGUGGUGGAAAGGGUUUUACUGGUUUUGGAUGGGCUCACGGCCUAUCAGCUUGUUGGUGGGGUAAUGGCUCACCAAGGCGACGACGGGUAGCCGGCCUGAGAGGGUGACCGGCCACACUGGGACUGAGACACGGCCCAGACUCCUACGGGAGGCAGCAGUGGGGAAUAUUGCACAAUGGGCGGAAGCCUGAUGCAGCGACGCCGCGUGAGGGAUGACGGCCUUCGGGUUGUAAACCUCUUUCAGUAGGGAAGAAGCGAGAGUGACGGUACCUGCAGAAGAAGCGCCGGCUAACUACGUGCCAGCAGCCGCGGUAAUACGUAGGGCGCAAGCGUUGUCCGGAAUUAUUGGGCGUAAAGAGCUCGUAGGCGGUUUGUCGCGUCUGCUGUGAAAGCCCGGGGCUCAACCCCGGGUCUGCAGUGGGUACGGGCAGACUAGAGUGCAGUAGGGGAGACUGGAAUUCCUGGUGUAGCGGUGAAAUGCGCAGAUAUCAGGAGGAACACCGAUGGCGAAGGCAGGUCUCUGGGCUGUUACUGACGCUGAGGAGCGAAAGCAUGGGGAGCGAACAGGAUUAGAUACCCUGGUAGUCCAUGCCGUAAACGUUGGGCACUAGGUGUGGGGGACAUUCCACGUUUUCCGCGCCGUAGCUAACGCAUUAAGUGCCCCGCCUGGGGAGUACGGCCGCAAGGCUAAAACUCAAAGGAAUUGACGGGGGCCCGCACAAGCGGCGGAGCAUGCGGAUUAAUUCGAUGCAACGCGAAGAACCUUACCAAGGCUUGACAUUCACCGGACCGCCCCAGAGAUGGGGUUUCCCUUCGGGGCUGGUGGACAGGUGGUGCAUGG